AGGGAUCAUUACCGAGUUAUCCAACUCCCAACCCCUGUGAAUUAUACCUUUAAUUGUUGCUUCGGCGGGACUUCGCGCCCGCCGGGGACCCAAACCUUCUGAAUUUUUUAAUAAGUAUCUUCUGAGUGGUUAAAAAAAAAAUGAAUCAAAACUUUCAACAACGGAUCUCUUGGUUCUGGCAUCGAUGAAGAACGCAGCGAAAUGCGAUAAGUAAUGUGAAUUGCAGAAUUCAGUGAAUCAUCGAAUCUUUGAACGCACAUUGCGCCCGUCAGUAUUCUGGCGGGCAUGCCUGUUCGAGCGUCAUUACGCCCCUCAAGUCCCCUGUGGACUUGGUGUUGGGGAUCGGCGAGGCUGGUUUUCCAGCACAGCCGUCCCUUAAAUUAAUUGGCGGUCUCGCCGUGGCCCUCCUCUGCGCAGUAGUAAAGCACUCGCAACAGGAGCCCGGCGCGGUCCACUGCCGUAAAACCCCCCAACUUUUUAUAGUUGACCUCGAAUCAGGUAGGACUACCCGCUGAACUUAA
rnacentral:rRNA from 1 species